GUAACACGUAGUCAACAUGCCCAGGGGACGUGGAUAACCUCGGGAAACUGAGGAUAAACCGCGAUAGGUCACUACUCCUGGAAUGGGUAAUGACUCAAACCUAUAUGGCCCCUGGAUUGGACUGCGGCCGAUCAGGCUGUUGGUGAGGUAAUGGCCCACCAAACCUGUAACCGGUACGGGCUCUGAGAGGAGGAGCCCGGAGAUGGGCACUGAGACAAGGGCCCAGGCCCUAUGGGGCGCAGCAGGCGCGAAACCUCUGCAAUAGGCGAAAGCCUGACAGGGUUACUCUGAGUGAUCUCCGUUAAGGAGAUCUUUUGGCACCUCUAAAAAUGGUGCAGAAUAAGGGGUGGGCAAGUCUGGUGUCAGCCGCCGCGGUAAUACCAGCACCCCGAGUGGUCGGGACGUUUAUUGGGCCUAAAGCAUCCGUAGCCGGUUCUACAAGUCUUCCGUUAAAUCCAGCUGCUUAACAGAUGGGCUGCGGAAGAUACUAUGGAGCU
rnacentral:rRNA from 1 species